GGUUGGUUCAUGAAGAGCUUGCAACCCCUUGCCCAACACACAGCGAGCCCUGGGUAUCUGCCUGCUGUUAUCUGGGAGCUGACAUUCACGUACACAGGAGUGUUCUUGCGUGAGCGUGUGUACACGCACGCACACACACAUACACACACAGGCUCUGACCUAGAUGCCUCUCCCCUCUGCUCUCAUAGUACAACUGGGUCAGGCAUCUCUUACCUUCCUUCUCACACUAUUUAAAAUUGUUUACUUGUCCAUCUUCCCACCAGAUCUUAGGCUUUAUAAGGGCAGGGUCUUGUUUGUUUGUUUGCUUGUUUUUGCUCCCUUCUCUCUCUUCUUACACAAAGUUCGUUGGCUGAGUUGUCCAGCAGGACUCCAGGACACAAGAGGAAACGUGCUGUUACCACCAACAACUCAGGUGUUGAGACACUAGACCAGCUUGGUGAGCGCCCACCUGAUUUUUCCAGGAUCCGGCUGACGGCAUAGGCGGUCACUCCAGACCCCUUUCUACUCCUCCCCUUUCCCUGGUACCCAUGGGACUCAUUUGCCAGCCCCCCUCACCCCUACCCCUGGGCCCUGCCCCCAAAUCUUGAUCCUGCAAGUGCCCUCGGGAAUCUGGCAAAGCUGCCUACCUCCUUCCAGACAUCCUGAAUGUCGAGUGCCAGCGGGGAUCCUGCUUCGCCCUCCCUCUGGCCUCAGCAUUUCUCUCCCCCCCAUCUUGUGUUUAGCGACUUUCUUUCCUGCUUCCAUUUACUUCCGUUUCCCGUUCCUCCUGGCCUAAGCUCCGGGCCUGCGCUGGGCACCCCUGGCACCAGUGUCUAGUGAUACUCCUGCUAAAGAAGCCACUGACUGUUGUCCAAGAAGCCUGUCAUGCUGUCUCAUGUCAGUGCUCAGUGACCGUCCACUGGAAACCAUGGUGGCCUAGGGGAAGCCACGCAUCCAAACUCUGCCUUGGAAUUUGAACAAUGCCAGGAUGCAGCAGCUUUGUCUUCCAGGUGGGCCUUUGGGAGGUUCUGCCCUGGGACCCACAGACAGUGUGUUGGCUUGAGACUAACAUGAGAUGAGCAACUCUGUGAAGAGCCACAGGAGCCACUAAAUAUAACGAUAAACCGGCAACAGCAAUUAUGUAUAUUGUGUAAUGAAAAGAGUAAGUGAUGUGGCUCAGGGGACAGCAUGACCAGCAGAAGCUCAGAGGUGGAAGAGACGCAACGAGGCAAAGGGCUUGAGCAGGUAAUGAUUGACAGCUGCAGGUAUGGAGGGCCGACACUGUGCCAGGCACUUUGCAGUCCAGGAGCCCUUCCCGCUCUGACCUGCUGCCCUGUGAUGCUGGUGUCACGGCUCGCUCUUCUGCAGACCUGCGGUAUUUGGUUCAACACUGGGAAGUCCACUUAUUGCACAACAGAAUUGAAUAUUGGCAAAUCGUUCAAUGUGCUUCGCGCUGGCUCAGCAGGUAUCCUCGCAAUUGCUGACUUUGGUUUACAUCAGAGGUUCACAGGCUUGGCUGCAUGUUAGAAUCACCCUGGGGAGCUUUUUAGAAACACCGGUGCCCGGGUUCUCCCCCAGGCCAAGCAAGUUAGACUCUCCCAGGUGGGGCUCAAACCUCAACAUUUUUCUAAAGUGGGCCGGUUGAUUCUAACGCACUGUCAGACUGGAGGGAGGCGGGGUUUGCAUGUAAAUGUCCUACUUCCCCAAGAAGAUCGUGAGCGUCUUGAAGCCUUGUCUGGUCCUCUUGCUCAGAAUGUGCUGUCUCACUUUCCUAGACGGGGUUCAUCUGAAGCCCCUCCAGAGCUGCUCCGCAGGGGCCGCAAGACUGGGCGGGCCUCCCCUCUCACUCUCUCUUGCUGCCACCUGGUGAACUUCACAUGCCCUUCAAGGUCCAGCUCCCAUGCCACCUCCUCCUUUAUUCCCGCUCCAGGGCCGGGCUACAGCAGCAAGCCAGCGAAACCAGGACCCUUCUCACACAGAGAUGACUUAUUGAGCCCCUUCUCCCUGCCAGACACCAUACCCCGAAAGGUACCAGGUGCAUCUCCAAUACACACCUGGGGCAAGUGAAGCUCAAGGAAUUUAAGAAUGUUGAAGUUGUGUCGCAAGUUUGUGAUGGUAGAUUCCAGCCUAGUUCUGUUCGACUCCCAGGGCCUGGCUGCUUCUGCCACCCUACACACAUAUUUCCUGUGCACCGAGCACCAUGCCGAGCUUUCUGUGGGUGAUACUGUAUUUCUCUCCUGCUACCUUUAUAGAACAUUACGUUGGCUGUGAACUUGUCUGAUUCUUGGGUCAGACAGGAGGGGAGGUGGAGCGUGGUGGUUAAGAAUGAAGCCCUGGAGCUGUGCUCCCUGGGUUCAAAUCCCAGCUCUGCCCUUACUAGCUGUGCAAACUUGGGCAAGAUACUUGACCUCUCUGUGUUUCAGAUGCCCCAUCUGUAAAAGGGGGUUGAUAAUAGUAGUUUCUAUUCAGGGAGUAGUAGGAGGAGUAAGGAAUAUAGUAAAGUGAUUAGAACCAUUUGGCUGUGAGGUGUUUGAGCAGCGAUCUGAGUCUUCCCCACGUCCGUGUGUCCAGAGUUAGUACGGAGUAGCCGUCAGUGGUCAGCGUUGCGAGACAUCAGAGAGAAGUCAAGGUCCUAGUAAUCGUCUCUCAAAAUCACCAACUGUUGGCUUUUUCUUUUAAAGAUUAAACACCUCCGCAGCCUCCCGCUCCAGUCCCUUGGGGCUUCUGUCAAUGGGAUUGGAGUUUGAGACACACUUUGUAUCCCUCUCCCUCUUUCCUGCCACCCGUGCCCAGAGCCUAGAGGGCAGUGGAGUGGAGACGCCCCCGGGCAUGCCCGCGAUGGGCAGGCAGGGAGAGUCCCUCCACACCCCUGCCUCUGCUCACACCAGCCACCCCUCCUCUCGACGCUUCCGAAGUCUUCCUCCCCUCCCAGCCUCUACCCCUCUGGCUGGCCUCACGAAGCCUUCCUGGGGCGGUGCUCCAGACGACACCCACCCCUCCCUCUUCUGAAUGUCUGUAAUAACGUCUGUGUU